AACGCUUUCUACAGGCUUAACACAUGCAAGUCGAGGGGCAGCAUGGUCUUAGCUUGCUAAGGCCGAUGGCGACCGGCGCACGGGUGAGUAACACGUAUCCAACCUGCCGUCUACUCUUGGACAGCCUUCUGAAAGGAAGAUUAAUACAAGAUGGCAUCAUGAGUCCGCAUGUUCACAUGAUUAAAGGUAUUCCGGUAGACGAUGGGGAUGCGUUCCAUUAGAUAGUAGGCGGGGUAACGGCCCACCUAGUCUUCGAUGGAUAGGGGUUCUGAGAGGAAGGUCCCCCACAUUGGAACUGAGACACGGUCCAAACUCCUACGGGAGGCAGCAGUGAGGAAUAUUGGUCAAUGGGCGAGAGCCUGAACCAGCCAAGUAGCGUGAAGGAUGACUGCCCUAUGGGUUGUAAACUUCUUUUAUAAAGGAAUAAAGUCGGGUAUGGAUACCCGUUUGCAUGUACUUUAUGAAUAAGGAUCGGCUAACUCCGUGCCAGCAGCCGCGGUAAUACGGAGGAUCCGAGCGUUAUCCGGAUUUAUUGGGUUUAAAGGGAGCGUAGAUGGAUGUUUAAGUCAGUUGUGAAAGUUUGCGGCUCAACCGUAAAAUUGCAGUUGAUACUGGAUAUCUUGAGUGCAGUUGAGGCAGGCGGAAUUCGUGGUGUAGCGGUGAAAUGCUUAGAUAUCACGAAGAACUCCGAUUGCGAAGGCAGCCUGCUAAGCUGCAACUGACAUUGAGGCUCGAAAGUGUGGGUAUCAAACAGGAUUAGAUACCCUGGUAGUCCACACGGUAAACGAUGAAUACUCGCUGUUUGCGAUAUACUGCAAGCGGCCAAGCGAAAGCGUUAAGUAUUCCACCUGGGGAGUACGCCGGCAACGGUGAAACUCAAAGGAAUUGACGGGGGCCCGCACAAGCGGAGGAACAUGUGGUUUAAUUCGAUGAUACGAGAGGAACCUUACCCGGGCUUAAAUUGCAGAUGAAUUACGGUGAAAGCCGUAAGCCGCAAGGCAUCUGUGAAGGUGCUGCAUGGUUGUCGUCAGCUCGUGCCGUGAGGUGUCGGCUUAAGUGCCAUAACGAGCGCAACCCUUGUUGUCAGUUACUAACAGGUUCCGCUGAGGACUCUGACAAGACUGCCAUCGUAAGAUGUGAGGAAGGUGGGGAUGACGUCAAAUCAGCACGGCCCUUACGUCCGGGGCUACACACGUGUUACAAUGGGGGGUACAGAGGGCCGCUACCACGCGAGUGGAUGCCAAUCCCCAAAACCUCUCUCAGUUCGGACUGGAGUCUGCAACCCGACUCCACGAAGCUGGAUUCGCUAGUAAUCGCGCAUCAGCCACGGCGCGGUGAAUACGUUCCCGGGCCUUGUACACACCGCCCGUCAAGCCAUGGGAGCCGGGGGUACCUGAAGUGCGUAACCGCGAGGAGCGCCCUAGGGUAAAACUGGUGACUGGGGCUA
rnacentral:rRNA from 1 species